rnacentral:rRNA from 1 species
UACGUAGGGGGCAAGCGUUUGUCCGGAUUUAUUGGGCGUAAAGAGCGUGUAGGCGGCUAUACAGGUCCGUUGUGAAAACUGGAGGCUUAACCUCCAGACGUCGAUGGAAACCGUAUGGCGUAGAGUCCGGAAGAGGAGAGUGGAAUUCCUGGUGUAGCGGUGAAAUGCGCAGAUAUCAGGAAGAACACCCCGUGGCGAAGGCGGCUCGUCUGGGACGGUACUGACGCUGAGACGCGAAAGCGUGGGGAGCGAACAGG